rnacentral:rRNA from 1 species
UUAAGCGACUAAGCGUACACGGUGGAUGCCCUGGCAGUCAGAGGCGAUGAAGGACGUGCUAAUCUGCGAAAAGCGUCGGUAAGGUGAUAUGAACCGUUACAGCCGGCGAUGUCCGAAUGGGGAAACCCAGUGCAAUUCGUUGCACUAUCGUUUGAUGAAUACAUAGUCAAACGAGGCGAACCGGGGGAACUGAAACAUCUAAGUACCCCGAGGAAAAGAAAUCAACCGAGAUUCCCCCAGUAGCGGCGAGCGAACGGGGAGCAGCCCGGAGUCUGAAUCAGCUUGUGUGUUAGUGGAAGCGUCUGGAAAGUCGCAGGGUACAGGGUGAUACUCCCGUACACUAAAACACACAGGCUGUGAACUCGAAGAGUAGGGCGGGACACGUGGUAUCCUGUCUGAAUAUGGGGGGACCAUCCUCCAAGGCUAAAUACUCCUGACUGACCGAUAGUGAACCAGUACCGUGAGGGAAAGGCGAAAAGAACCCCGGCGAGGGGAGUGAAAAAGAACCUGAAACCGUGUACGUACAAGCAGUAGGAGCCCACUUGUUGGGUGACUGCGUACCUUUUGUAUAAUGGGUCAGCGACUUAUAUUCUGUAGCAAGGUUAACCGUAUAGGGGAGCCGCAGGGAAACCGAGUCUUAACUGGGCGUUAAGUUGCAGGGUAUAGACCCGAAACCCGGUGAUCUAGCCAUGGGCAGGUUGAAGGUUGGGUAACACUAACUGGAGGACCGAACCGACUAAUGUUGAAAAAUUAGCGGAUGACUUGUGGCUGGGGGUGAAAGGCCAAUCAAACCGGGAGAUAGCUGGUUCUCCCCGAAAGCUAUUUAGGUAGCGCCUCGUGAAUUCAUCUUCGGGGGUAGAGCACUGUUUCGGCUAGGGGGUCAUCCCGACUUACCAACCCGAUGCAAACUACGAAUACCGAAGAAUGUUAUCACGGGAGACACACGGCGGGUGCUAACGUCCGUCGUGAAGAGGGAAACAACCCAGACCGCCAGCUAAGGUCCCAAAGUCAUGGUUAAGUGGGAAACGAUGUGGGAAGGCCCAGACAGCCAGGAUGUUGGCUUAGAAGCAGCCAUCAUUUAAAGAAAGCGUAAUAGCUCACUGGUCGAGUCGGCCUGCGCGGAAGAUGUAACGGGGCUAAACCAUGCACCGAAGCUGCGGCAGCGACACUAUGUGUUGUUGGGUAGGGGAGCGUUCUGUAAGCCGUUGAAGGUGGCCUGUGAGGGUUGCUGGAGGUAUCAGAAGUGCGAAUGCUGACAUAAGUAACGAUAAUGCGGGUGAAAAACCCGCACGCCGGAAGACCAAGGGUUCCUGUCCAACGUUAAUCGGGGCAGGGUGAGUCGACCCCUAAGGCGAGGCCGAAAGGCGUAGUCGAUGGGAAACAGGUUAAUAUUCCUGUACUUGGUGUUACUGCGAAGGGGGGACGGAGAAGGCUAUGUUGGCCGGGCGACGGUUGUCCCGGUUUAAGCGUGUAGGUGUGUGUUCCAGGUAAAUCCGGUUCACUUUAACACUGAGGCGUGAUGACGAGGCACUACGGUGCUGAAGUGACAAAUGCCCUGCUUCCAGGAAAAGCCUCUAAGCAUCAGGUAACAUCAAAUCGUACCCCAAACCGACACAGGUGGUCAGGUAGAGAAUACCAAGGCGCUUGAGAGAACUCGGGUGAAGGAACUAGGCAAAAUGGUGCCGUAACUUCGGGAGAAGGCACGCUGAUAUGUAGGUGAAGUGAUUUACUCAUGGAGCUGAAAUCAGUCGAAGAUACCAGCUGGCUGCAACUGUUUAUUAAAAACACAGCACUGUGCAAACACGAAAGUGGACGUAUACGGUGUGACGCCUGCCCGGUGCCGGAAGGUUAAUUGAUGGGGUUAUCCGUAAGGAGAAGCUCUUGAUCGAAGCCCCGGUAAACGGCGGCCGUAACUAUAACGGUCCUAAGGUAGCGAAAUUCCUUGUCGGGUAAGUUCCGACCUGCACGAAUGGCGUAAUGAUGGCCAGGCUGUCUCCACCCGAGACUCAGUGAAAUUGAACUCGCUGUGAAGAUGCAGUGUACCCGCGGCAAGACGGAAAGACCCCGUGAACCUUUACUAUAGCUUGACACUGAACACUGGUCCUUGAUGUGUAGGAUAGGUGGGAGGCUUUGAAGUGUGGACGCCAGUCUGCAUGGAGCCAUCCUUGAAAUACCACCCUUUAAUGGCUGGUGUUCUAACGUGGGCCCGUAAUCCGGGUUGCGGACAGUGUCUGGUGGGUAGUUUGACUGGGGCGGUCUCCUCCUAAAGAGUAACGGAGGAGCACGAAGGUCAGCUAAUCCUGGUCGGACAUCAGGAGGUUAGUGCAAUGGCAUAAGCUGGCUUGACUGCGAGCGUGACGGCGCGAGCAGGUGCGAAAGCAGGUCAUAGUGAUCCGGUGGUUCUGAAUGGAAGGGCCAUCGCUCAACGGAUAAAAGGUACUCCGGGGAUAACAGGCUGAUACCGCCCAAGAGUUCAUAUCGACGGCGGUGUUUGGCACCUCGAUGUCGGCUCAUCACAUCCUGGGGCUGAAGUAGGUCCCAAGGGUAUGGCUGUUCGCCAUUUAAAGUGGUACGCGAGCUGGGUUUAGAACGUCGUGAGACAGUUCGGUCCCUAUCUGCCGUGGGCGCUGGAGAAUUGAGGGGGGCUGCUCCUAGUACGAGAGGACCGGAGUGGACGCAUCACUGGUGUUCGGGUUGUCAUGCCAAUGGCAUUGCCCGGUAGCUAAAUGCGGAAGAGAUAAGUGCUGAAAGCAUCUAAGCACGAAACUUGCCCCGAGAUGAGUUCUCCCUGACUCCUUGAGAGUCCUGAAGGAACGUUGAAGACGACGACGUUGAUAGGCCGGGUGUGUAAGCGCAGCGAUGCGUUGAGCUAACCGGUACUAAUGAACCGUGAGGCUUAACCUU